rnacentral:lncRNA from 13 species
AUGACACUGGCACUCACAAAUGAUGAUCCCACUGAUCACGAAUCAUCAGGACAAUGCAGCUGUGAGAAAGGGAACCCGAGGCCACGUUCAUGCCUAUCUCCAGGUUUUACCUGCUGUUCCUAUUUUGCCUCUGUGUUCCCUGGACACCACCAUUCCAGUGCAAGAUUUCCGGGGUUGAAUUCAUUUUCAGCAAAAGUUCUCAGAAGUGCUCUGACUGGCAUGGGACCAAGAGGCCACAUGCAGAUUUUAAGUUCUGUCACUGGGGUUUUGGGCAGUUGCCAUUCUGAGGAGGAGCUGAAGAGCACUGCUCUGCCAAAGAAAAAGAAGCUGGGAGAUGAAUCACUGAGUGGUUACCCAGAACAGAGAAUGUUGUCUGCAUUCAUCUAUCUUCCAUUCAAUCUCCCUUCAGAAAGACUAUUAUGGAGUUGUAAAUCAGGGCUCAGAGACAAGACGGGACUUCCUCGAGGUCAUGACGAGAUGACCUCAUGGCAAGCUGAAUCUUCAAGUUGUGUUGACCUACCUGGGAGCAUGUUGGCUCCAGAAUUCCAAGCUUCAGUAAUUUUAUAAAACAAAAUUAAAAUACCAGAAGGAUGUAUUUGCAAACAAAUUAUAGAGCUUUAAGAUUAUACAACAGUUAAGAAAGCAUGAGGUGGGCAUAUGUGUGCCAAUAAGGAAUGAGUUUGAAAAGCAAGUUGGAGAACAACAUGAAUAAUGUGAUCACAUUUUUGCUUUUAGAAACCAAAGUUCCAUAUAAUACGUAGCUACCAUUUGGUAAGUUAUUAGUGUUUACCUGGCACUGUGCAAAGUGCUUUUAAAACCCUUAACUUGCCUGGGCAUGAUGGCUGGUCCUUUUAAUCCCAGUACUUUGGGAGUACAAGGCAGGUGGAUUAUCUGAGGUCAGGAGUUUGAGACCAGCCUGGCCAAUGUGGUGAAACUCUGUCUCUACUAAAAAUAAAAAUAAAUUAGCUAGUGUAGUGGCUAAGUAG